rnacentral:tRNA from 1 species
GCCUGGGUGGCUCAGUCGGUUAAGUGUCCGACUUCGGCUCGGGUCAUGAUCUCGCGGUUCGUGAGUUCAAGCCCCGCAUCAGGCU